GUAGUUAGCCGUGGCUUAUUCUAGGGGUACCGUCUUCUACUCUUCCCCCUUAAAAGAAGUUUACAACCCGAAAGCCUUCUUCCCUCACGCGGCGUUGCUGGGUCAGGCUUGCGCCCAUUGCCCAAUAUUCCCCACUGCUGCCUCCCGCAGGAGUCUGGACCGUAUCUCAGUUCCAGUGUGGCCGAUCAGCCUCUCAGCUCGGCUACCCAUCGUCGACUUGGUGGGCCGUUACCCCGCCAACUAUCUAAUGGGACGCGAACCCCUCUUAUACCGGAUUGCUCCUUUGACCUCAUCCCGAUGUCGGGUCGUGGUCUUAUGCGGUAUUAGCAACCGUUUCCGGUUGUUAUCCCCCUGUAUAAGGCAGGUUGUUCACGCGUUACUCACCCGUUCGCCACUAAGUUAUCAACCGAAAUCAAUAACUCCGUUCGACUUGCAUGUGUUAGGCACGCCGCCAGCGUUCGUCCUGAGCCAGAAUCAAACUCUGA
rnacentral:rRNA from 1 species